rnacentral:rRNA from 1 species
AUUGAACGCUGGCGGCAGGCCUAACACAUGCAAGUCGAACGAGUGGCGGACGGGUGAGUAAUAUCUGGGAAACUGCCUGGUUGAGGGGGAUAACUACUGGAAACAGUAGCUAAUACCGCAUACCAUCAGAUGUGCCCAUAUGGGAUUAGCUAGUUGGUGGGGUAAAGGCUCACCAAGGCGACGAUCCCUAGCUGGUCUGAGAGGAUGACCAGCCACACGGGAACUGAGACACGGUCCAGACUCCUACGGGAGGAAGCAGUGGGGAAUUUUGCACAAUGGGCGCAAGCCUGAUGCAGCCAUGCCGCGUGUAUGAAGAAGGCCUUCGGGUUGUAAAGUACUUUUAGCGGGGAGGCGGUACCCGCAGAAGAAGCACCGGCUAACUCCGUGCCAGCAGCCGCGGUAAUUC